rnacentral:rRNA from 1 species
GACGAACGCUGGCGGCGUGCUUAACACAUGCAAGUCGAACGAAUUGGCGAACGGGUGAGUAACGCGUAAUCAACCUGCCCUUCAGAGGGGGACAACAGUUGGAAACGACUGCUAAUACCGCAUACUGAAGGAGGGGAUUGCGUCUGAUUAGCUAGUUGGAGGGGUAACGGCCCACCAAGGCGAUGAUCAGUAGCCGGGCUGAGAGGAUGAACGGCCACAUGGGGACUGGGACACGGUCCAGACUCCUACGGGAGGCAGCAGUGGGGAAUAUUGGACAAUGUGCGAAAGCCUUAUCCAGCCAUGCCGCGUGUGUGAAGAAGGUCUUCGGAUUGUAAAGCACUUUAAGUUGGGAGGCGUUACCGACAGAAUAAGCACCGGCUAACUCUGUGCCAGCCGCCGCGGUAAUUC